CGUACGGUACCGUCAACCCUCUACACGUANAGGGGUUUNUUCCCGUNUAAAAGAAGUUUACAACCCAUAGGGCCGUCAUCCUUCACGCGGCAUGGCUGGUUCAGGCUUUUCGCCC
rnacentral:rRNA from 1 species